rnacentral:rRNA from 1 species
UCCCGAACACGGAAGUUAAGCUCUUCUGCGCCGAUGGUACUUGGGGAUCUCCCCCUGGAAGAGUAGGACGUUGCCGGUU